rnacentral:rRNA from 1 species
CACCUGAUGGCGAGUGGCGAACGGGUGAGUAAUGCAUCGGAACGUGCCUAGUAAUGGGGAAUAACUAAUCGAAAGAUUAGCUAAUACCGCAUACGCCCCAAGGGGGAAAGCAGGGGAUCUUCGGACCUUGCGUUACUAGAGCGGCCGAUAUCUGAUUAGCUUGUUGGUAGGGUAAAAGCCUACCAAGGCGACGAUCCGUAGCUGGUCUGAGAGGACGACCAGCCACACUGGAACUGAGACACGGCCCAGACUCC